GAGUUUGAUCCUGGCUCAGGACGAACGCUGGCGGCGCGCCUAACACAUGCAAGUCGAAUGAGCGAGAGAGAGCUUGCUUUCUCAAGCGAGUGGCGAACGGGUGAGUAACGCGUGAGGAACCUGCCUCAAAGAGGGGGACAACAGUUGGAAACGACUGCUAAUACCGCAUAAGCCCACAGCUCGGCAUCGAGCAGAGGGAAAAGGAGCAAUCCGCUUUGAGAUGGCCUCGCGUCCGAUUAGCUAGUUGGUGAGGUAAUGGCCCACCAAGGCGACGAUCGGUAGCCGGACUGAGAGGUUGAACGGCCACAUUGGGACUGAGACACGGCCCAGACUCCUACGGGAGGCAGCAGUGGGGAAUAUUGCACAAUGGGGGAAACCCUGAUGCAGCGACGCCGCGUGGAGGAAGAAGGUCUUCGGAUUGUAAACUCCUGUUGUUGAGGAAGAUAAUGACGGUACUCAACAAGGAAGUGACGGCUAACUACGUGCCAGCAGCCGCGGUAAAACGUAGGUCACAAGCGUUGUCCGGAAUUACUGGGUGUAAAGGGAGCGCAGGCGGGAAGACAAGUUGGAAGUGAAAUCUAUGGGCUCAACCCAUAAACUGCUUUCAAAACUGUUUUUCUUGAGUAGUGCAGAGGUAGGCGGAAUUCCCGGUGUAGCGGUGGAAUGCGUAGAUAUCGGGAGGAACACCAGUGGCGAAGGCGGCNUACUGGGCACCAACUGACGCUGAGGCUCGAAAGUGUGGGUAGCAAACAGGAUUAGAUACCCUGGUAGUCCACACCGUAAACGAUGAUUACUAGGUGUUGGAGGAUUGACCCCUUCAGUGCCGCAGUUAACACAAUAAGUAAUCCACCUGGGGAGUACGACCGCAAGGUUGAAACUCAAAGGAAUUGACGGGGGCCCGCACAAGCAGUGGAGUAUGUGGUUUAAUUCGACGCAACGCGAAGAACCUUACCAAGUCUUGACAUCCUGCGACGCACAUAGAAAUAUGUGUUUCCUUCGGGACGCAGAGACAGGUGGUGCAUGGUUGUCGUCAGCUCGUGUCGUGAGAUGUUGGGUUAAGUCCCGCAACGAGCGCAACCCUUACUGUCAGUUACUACGCAAGAGGACUCUGGCAGGACUGCCGUUGACAAAACGGAGGAAGGUGGGGAUGACGUCAAAUCAUCAUGCCCUUUAUGACUUGGGCUACACACGUACUACAAUGGCGUUAAACAAAGAGAAGCAAGACCGCGAGGUGGAGCAAAACUCAGAAACAACGUCCCAGUUCGGACUGCAGGCUGCAACUCGCCUGCACGAAGUCGGAAUUGCUAGUAAUCGUGGAUCAGCAUGCCACGGUGAAUACGUUCCCGGGCCUUGUACACACCGCCCGUC
rnacentral:rRNA from 1 species